GAUGAACGCUGGCGGCGUGCCUAAUACAUGCAAGUCGAACGAGGUGCCUUUGUAGCAAUACGAGGGUAUCCUAGUGGCGAACGGGUGAGUAACGCGUUGGUGACCUGCCCCGAAGUGUGGGAUAACAGUCCGAAAGGACUGCUAAUACCGCAUGCGGUCAUCGGGUUUAGAAGCCGAUGACCAAAGCAGCAAUGCGCUUUGGGAGGGACCUGCGUCCCAUCAGCUAGUUGGUAGGGUAAUGGCCUACCAAGGCUACGACGGGUAGGGGACCUGAGAGGGUGACCCCCCACAAUGGAACUGAAAUACGGUCCAUACACCUACGGGUGGCAGCAGUAGGGAAUAUUGCACAAUGGGCGAAAGCCUGAUGCAGCAACGCCGCGUGCACGAUGAAGGUCUUCGGAUCGUAAAGUGCUUUUCUGGGAGAUGAGAAUGGACAGUAUCCCAGGAAUAAGUCUCGGCUAACUACGUGCCAGCCGCCGCCGUAAAAC
rnacentral:rRNA from 1 species